CCCGGGGGUGUAGUCUUCGGGUUGCGAGACCCUUGGACCGCUGAUUCUUCCACAGCAACACUUAUUGAAGCCUGUGCGCUCCUGCAGAGGAGUUUCGCCGCGACUGAAAAUAAUGGUAGAGAUGCAAGUCGGCUCACCAGCUGGCAACACAAUCGAAAUGCGGGGAUAUCCUAAAGCUCGAUGGUACCAACUGCUAGGGGAAACCCUGCCAGGGCCUGUGUUAACCACACGGGGUACGGUAGAAACCCGUCGAGAUUUUGCAAUGGACAAUCCGCAGCACAGCCCCUAACGGCCCAUUCGUGGUGCCCACGGGGAAUGUUCACAGACUAAGUGAUUGUGGAUCAUGCUUCAGGCGUGGUCUAAGAUAUAGUCGGGCCCUGUCCGAAAUGUCGGGGGUAAGUUUGCAGAAACGAAAACCGUUCCGUAGGUGAACCUGCGGAAGGAUCAUUACAGAGUUCAUGCCCUAUGGGUAGAUCUCCCACCCUUGUGUAUUUAUACCAUGUUGCUUUGGCGGGCCGCUGGGCUUCGGCCUGCUCGCGGCUCCGGCUGUGGAGUGCCCGCCAGAGGACCCAAAACUCUUGUUAUCAGUGUCGUCUGAGUACUAUAAAAUAGUUAAAACUUUCAACAACGGAUCUCUUGGUUCUGGCAUCGAUGAAGAACGCAGCGAAAUGCGAUAAGUAAUGUGAAUUGCAGAAUUCAGUGAAUCAUCGAAUCUUUGAACGCACAUUGCGCCCCCUGGUAUUCCGGGGGGCAUGCCUGUUCGAGCGUCAUUUCAACCCUCAAGCACUGCUUGGUAUUGGGCCUCGCCGGAGACGGCGGGCCCUAAAAUCAGUGGCGGCGCCGCUGGGCCCUGAGCGUAGUAAUUCUCUCGCUACAGGUCCCCGCGUGCCCCCGCCAGAACCCCCAAUUUUUCUAUGGUUGACCUCGGAUCAGGUAGGGAUACCCGCUGAACUUAAGCAUAUCAAUAAGCGGAGGAAAAGAAACCAACAGGGAUUGCCUCAGUAACGGCGAGUGAAGCGGCACAAGCUCAAAUUUGAAAUCUGGCUCUUUCAGGGUCCGAGUUGUAAUUUGUAGAAGAUGCUUCGGGUGUGGCUCCGGUCUAAGUUCCUUGGAACAGGACGUCAUAGAGGGUGAGAAUCCCGUAUGUGACUGGGUGCCUACGCUCAUGUGAAGCUCUUUCGACGAGUCGAGUUGUUUGGGAAUGCAGCUCAAAAUGGGUGGUAAAUUUCAUCUAAAGCUAAAUAUUGGCCAGAGACCGAUAGCGCACAAGUAGA
rnacentral:sRNA from 1 species